GAUGAACGCUGGCGGCGUGCUUAACACAUGCAAGUCGAACGAAGCACUUUAUUUGAUUUUCUUCGGAGAUGAAGAUCUAGUGACUGAGUGGCGGACGGGUGAGUAACGCGUGGAUAACCUGCCUCACACUGGGGGAUAACAGUUAGAAAUGACUGCUAAUACCGCAUAAGCGCACAGUACCGCAUGGUACGGUGUGAAAAACUCCGGUGGUGUGAGAUGGAUCCGCGUCUGAUUAGCCAGUUGGCGGGGUAACGGCCCACCAAAGCAACGAUCAGUAGCCGACCUGAGAAGGUGACCGGCCACAUUGGGACUGAGACACGGCCCAAACUCCUACGGGAGGAAGCAGUGGGGAAUAUUGCGCAAUGGGGGAAACCCUGACGCAGCGACGCCGCGUGAGCGAUGAAGUAUUUCGGUAUGUAAAGCUCUAUCAGCAGGGAAGAAAAAAAUGACGGUACCUGACUAAGAAGCCCCGGCUAACUACGUGCCAGCCGCCGCCGUAA
rnacentral:rRNA from 1 species